rnacentral:rRNA from 1 species
UACGUAGGGUGCAAGCGUUAAUCGGAAUUACUGGGCGUAAAGCGUGCGCAGGCGGUUAUGUAAGACAGAUGUGAAAUGCCCGGGCUUAACCUGGGAACUGCAUUUGUGACUGCAUGGCUAGAGUUUGGCAGAGGGGGGUAGAAUUCCGCGUGUAGCAGUGAAAUGCGUAGAUAUGCGGAGGAACACCGAUGGCGAAGGCAAUCCCCUGGGCCUGCACUGACGCUCAUGCACGAAAGCGUGGGGAGCAAACAGG